rnacentral:rRNA from 1 species
UACGGAGGGUGCGAGCGUUAUCCGGAAUUACUGGGUUUAAAGGGUGCGUAGGCGGCCGAGUAAGUCAGGAGUGAAAGUUUGCGGCUCAACCGUAAAAUUGCUUUUGAUACUGCUUAGCUAGAAUCAGGAUGAGGUCAGCGGAAUGUGGCAUGUAGCGGUGAAAUGCAUAGAUAUUAGGAGGAACACCAGUGGCGAAGGCGAGUCUCUGGCACGCAUCUGACGCUGAUACACGAAAGCCAGGGGAGCGAACGGG